rnacentral:piRNA from 1 species
UAGGCCCUAGGGUGUUUUUCAUCCUAACAG